GCGAGGGUAGCCAAGCUCGGUCAAUGGCGCCAUUUGCGCUGCAGAGGUUCGCCGGUUCGAAUCCGGUCCCUCGCACCA
rnacentral:tRNA from 1 species